rnacentral:rRNA from 1 species
UGCAAGUCGAACGGCAGCACGGGAGCAAUCCUGGUGGCGAGUGGCGAACGGGUGAGUAAUAUAUCGGAACGUGCCCAGUCGUGGGGGAUAACGCAGCGAAAGCUGUGCUAAUACCGCAUACGAUCUAUGGAUGAAAGCGGGGGAUCGCAAGACCUCGCGCGAUUGGAGCGGCCGAUAUCAGAUUAGCUAGUUGGCGGGGUAAAGGCCCACCAAGGCGACGAUCUGUAGCUGGUCUGAGAGGACGACCAGCCACACUGGAACUGAGACACGGUCCAGACUCCUACGGGAGGCAGCAGUGGGGAAUUUUGGACAAUGGGCGAAAGCCUGAUCCAGCAAUGCCGCGUGCAGGAUGAAGGCCUUCGGGUUGUAAACUGCUUUUGUACGGAACGAAACGGUCUACCCUAAUACGGUGGGCUAAUGACGGUACCGUAAGAAUAAGCACCGGCUAACUACGUGCCAGCAGCCGCGGUAAUACGUAGGGUGCGAGCGUUAAUCGGAAUUACUGGGCGUAAAGCGUGCGCAGGCGGUUAUAUAAGACAGAUGUGAAAUCCCCGGGCUCAACCUGGGACCUGCAUUUGUGACUGUAUAGCUAGAGUACGGUAGAGGGGGAUGGAAUUCCGCGUGUAGCAGUGAAAUGCGUAGAUAUGCGGAGGAACACCGAUGGCGAAGGCAAUCCCCUGGACCUGUACUGACGCUCAUGCACGAAAG